ACCUACCCGGCAUAGUUCGAGAAAGAAGAGUUCUGGUGCGAGUUCGACCGGGUGGUGGUGGGUUGCUCAGCCGGCUCGAAGCCGGCACUGACCACUACGAGGCCUCGAUGCACCGGCUUAAAUCAUGGCUAAGCCGAGUUCAGGCGGCAUGCUUCAGCACAAAAGGGAACGGCCCAUUGAGCCUCCUCUGCAUCUUGGCGGAGAAGGCGUCAGUGGUGGCGUACACGGGUGACGAAAAUUUGGAUCACCCCCAUCAUAACAAGUCCGAAGGAAACGAACGGUGCCGCCUCAUCGUGGAGCGAACGGAAGUCUUGUGGGGAUCCAUGGUUUGGAAGGGAGUCUUUUGCUGUGGGCGACGGCGCACUUUGUGCUCAAUCAACAAACGGCGCACGAAGUGCGAAACACGCUGUGGUUUGUGUGUAUCCAUGUACUCCACACACCAUUCAAUGCUGAGCGCCAGCCACCUGUAGCCGCGAAGACUGAGGUCGAGAAGCUGGCAAAAGAGCGAAGCUGAGCUGACGUGGAGUCGAUCCCUCCCCCGACGCAGUUUGGCGUGUGUCAGAAUUGAAAUACAGCGCA